CCUGGAAGGAGCUCCAGCUCAGCCCAGAAGGUUUUCUCCAGCAGCCGAGAGAAGCUCACAGCCAGCCAUCAUGGUGCACUGGACCGCCGAAGAGAAGCAGCUCAUCAACACUUUGUGGAGCAAAGUAGACGUGGCUGCCUUGGGUGGGGACACCCUUUCCUGCAUGAUGAUCGUCUUCCCCUGGACCCAGAGAUUAUUCACUCA